AUUGAACGCUGGCGGCAGGCCUAACAAAUGCAAGUCGAACGAGUGGCGGACGGGUGAGUAAUGUCUGGGAAACUGCCUGAUGGAGGGGGAUAACUAAUGGAAACGGUAGCUAAUAACGCAUACCAUCGGAUGUGCCCAGAUGGGAUUAGCUAGUCGCUUGGGUAAAGGCUCACCUAGGCGACGAUCCCUAGCUGGUCUGAGAGGAUGACCAGCCAGACGGGAACUGAGACACGGUCCAGACUCCUACGGGAGGCAGCAGUGGGGAAUAUUGCAGAAUGGGCGCAAGCCUGAUGCAGCCAUGCCGCGUGUAUGAAGAAGGCCUUCGGGUUGUAAAGUACUUUCAGCGGGGAGGCGUUACCCGCAGAAGAAGCACCGGCUAACUCCGUGCCAGCAGCCGCGGUAAUUC
rnacentral:rRNA from 1 species